rnacentral:rRNA from 1 species
UCUGGUGGCACUAGAGCGGGAGUCACACCUGACCCCAUUCCGAACUCAGCCGUUAAGCCCCGCAUCGCCGAUGGUACUAUACUCAAGAGUAUGGAAGAGUAGGUCGCCGCCAGAU